rnacentral:rRNA from 1 species
GACGAACGCUGGCGGCGUGCUUAACACAUGCAAGUCGUACGGUAAGGCCCUUUCGGGGGUACACGAGUGGCGAACGGGUGAGUAACACGUGAGUAACCUGCCCACAACUUUGGGAUAACGCUAGGAAACUGGUGCUAAUACUGGAUAUGUGCUCCUGCUGCAUGGUGGGGGUUGGAAAGCUCCGGCGGUUGUGGAUGGACUCGCGGCCUAUCAGCUUGUUGGUGGGGUAGUGGCCUACCAAGGCGGCGACGGGUAGCCGGCCUGAGAGGGUGACCGGCCACAUUGGGACUGAGAUACGGCCCAGACGCCUACGGGAGGCAGCAGGGGGGAAUAUUGCACAAUGGGCGCAAGCCGGAUGCAGCAACGCCGCGUGCGGGAGGACGGCCUUCGGGUUGUAAACCGCUUUCAGCAGGGACGAAGCUUUUUGUGACGGUACCUGCAGAAGAAGCACCGGCUAACUACGUG